UCCCGUUGAUCCUGCGGGAGGUUGCUGCUAUUAGGAUUCGACUAAGCCAUGCAAGUCAGAGGGGUCUUCGGACCACAGGCGAAAUGCUCAGUAACACGUCAAUAAUCUAACCUUAGAUCUGGAAUAACCUUGGUAAACUGAGGCUAAAACCAGAUAGGAGAUUCUUAUUGGAAUAUAUUUUCUCCGAAAGGCAACGUCUAAGGAUGAGUUGGCGGCGGAUUAGGUGGUUGGUGGUGUAAAGGACCACCAAGCCUACGAUCCGUAGGAGCCUUGGAAGAGGGAGCUCCGAGAAGGGCACUGAGACACUGGCCCUAGCCCUACGGGGUGCAGCAGGCGCGAAACCUUUACAAUGCACGCAAGUGUGAUAAGGGAAUCCUAAGUGCUCAAGUUUAACUUGGGCUUUUGCCAAAUGUAAAUAGUUUGGCGAAUAAGUGGUGGGUAAGACGGGUGCCAGCCGCCGCGGUAACACCUGCGCCACAAGUGGGAACCACAAUUAUUGGGCCUAAAGCGUCCGUAGCCGGUCAAGUAAAUCUUUUGUGAAAUCAUAAGGCUUAACUUUAUGUCGUGCAAAAGACACUGCUUGACUUGGAACCGGGAGGAGUCAGAAGUAUGCUGAGGGGAGCGGUAAAAUGCUAUAAUCCUCGGUAGACUACCUGUGGCGAAGGCGUCUGACUAGAACGGAUUCGACGGUGAGGGACGAAAGCUAGGGGAGCGAACCGGAUUAGAUACCCGAGUAGUCCUAGCUGUAAACGCUGCGAGCAAGGUGUCACACAUCCGCUGAGGAUGUGUGGUGUCGAAGAGAAGUCGUUUAGCUCGCCGCCUGGGAAGUAUGGUCGCAAGACUGAAACUUAAAGGAAUUGGCGGGGGAGCACCACAAGGGGUGCGGCGUGCGGUUUAAUCUAAUUCAACGCAGAAAAUCUCACCAGAGGCGACGGCAGGAUGAAAGUCAGGCUGAAGACCUUACUUGACAAGCCGAGAGGUAGUGCAUGGCGCCGUCAGCUCGUGCCGUAAGGUGUCCUGUUAAGUCAGGCAACGAGCGAGACCUACAUCUACAAUUGCCAGCUGGUUCUUUUGAAUGACAGCGCACAUUGUAGGGACUGCCGUGGAAACGCGGAGGAAGGUGUAGGCUACGGUAGGUCUGUAUGCUCCGAAUCUUCUGGGCUACACGCGCGCAACAAUGGUUAAGACAAUGGGUCACAACUCCGAAAGGAGAAGUAAAUCCUCUGAACUUAACCUCAGUUUAGAUUGAGGGUUGCAACCCACCCUCAUGACAAUGGAAUCCCUAGUAAUUGGACUUCAUCAUGGUCCAGUGAAUACGUCCCUGCUCCUUGCACACACCGCCCGUCAAACCACCCGAGUAGGGCUUAGGUGAGGCUUAGUUUUUAAUUGAGUCGAAUCUAAGCUCAGCGAGGAGGGUUAAGUCGUCACAAGGUC
rnacentral:rRNA from 1 species